rnacentral:rRNA from 1 species
CGGUGAAUACGUUCCCGGACCUUGCACACACCGCCCGUCGAGCCAUGGAAGCUGGGUGUACCUAAAGUCGGUAACCGUAAGGAGCCGCCUAGGGUAAAACUAGUGACUGGGGCU